rnacentral:lncRNA from 1 species
GGAAAGGGGAGGAGAAUUCAUUGCUUUCUUCCUAACUCCUCUCUCUGAUUAGGGUUUUGAUUAAAAAACCUCUAAGAAAGAGAUUUGAACACAGGAUCCAAGAUCCAAAGUGCAUCACAGAAAGCCAUAGCCUUUUCUUUCAAUAGGUUCUUUUGGCUCGCUAUGAUGCAGACAUCUCUCUCUCUCUCUCUCUCUCUCUCUCUCUCUCUCUCUCUCUCUCUCCUUUUAACUUCUAGAGAGCUCCAUCACCUCCACUCAUCAUCUUUGGCCGACCCGACCAGAAUCUGGCCAAAUAGUGCCAAUCUCUUCAAUCUCUUCUUGUCCUUUACAUAGGUUUUCCUUAGUACUUUGGUAGUUUAUUCUCUCCAACUUUUGUUUCCUACAAUCACCAAGAUACUAUUGAAUUUUAUUGGAUUUUUGUGAUUUAAAACUUGUUAAGGCCUUUUGGGAGCCCGAUUAUUAUUAAUGGGCUUUGCUUGGAAAUCCAACUUAAGUUUCCAUAUGUGAGGUUAAGUCCCACAUUGAAAACUAAAAGUGUUGUUGGCAUAUAUAUAUAUAUAUUCCUUUAUUCUUAAGCAACUUGCUUGAGAGAAAAUAAAAGUUAUGCUCUCGUUUAAACAUACACGCACGAGCCAGGCCGGGCCGAGUGGGCGGCGGCAACGCGCGCAAUCCAUACACCCAAUUUAUUUAUUUUUUUUUAUUUUUUCGGUUUUAUUUUUAUCUUUAUCCUAAUCCUAAUCCUUAUCUGUAUAAUCAUAGGCUUAUCUUAUUCUACACGGAUUGAAGCAAGAAACUUGCCUUUGUUAUAAAUAUUGGAGGAGGUUGUUAGAUGUAUACCCUAGAAGCCAACCAGGCCGACACAUGUAUUCUUUCUAGGAUAUAAAUUUGUAUUUGACUUUAAAUUAUUAUGAAUAAAUUUGGGUUCUUAUUUCCAUUCAUGUUGUGUAUGUGACCAUGAAUCGUCCAAGGAAUUAAUAAGAUGAUGACAUAUAUUCUCAAAAGUUGAGAAUUUGAGACAUGUGUCAUUCGUGGUUAAUUCCUAAAUGCUCCCGAUCAAUGGAUAAUCACGGGGACGGUGAUUGAUCCGAUGAGAUUGGUACAUAGGUCGCUUCCUUUUUGGGUAGAUGGGUCUCGAGUCGACAGUGUGGGGACACUGAAGCGAAUAUGCAGGUGGUUGUUAAAGAACGAGGGUACCGAGCGUGACCAUCGUGAGAAGUCACUUGGAUGUCUACUCACUCGUCAGUGACUUACUCAAUGUUGCAGUAGUGUGACUGGUCUUUUGACUUGCGGUGCCUCGACUACUCACAAUGAGGUUACUGUAGUUUGACUGUACAUACACUUGGUCCCUAGUCAUUCGGGUCCUUGCGGUGCAUGUUGGCUGCAGUAGGUUCAUUGUAGGAAUAGGGUGUGCACUUAGAUGGUAUCUAUCUCCCUUGGUAGAUAGGGGUGUUAGUCCUAUAUGAUUUAUGAGACCGAGCUUAGAAGACCUUGGCCAGGGCAGAGAUAAUAGCGGAAAGGGAUUUCCGAUAUUAGAAACUCGAGUCGAAUAAAUUUAACAUAUGACAGACGAUGGGGUUUGACGAGUUAUUCCAUAACCUCCGUCUAGUCGGGACUCAUGAUAGAAGGAUUGUAUCACACGGUAACUGCACCAAGAGGUUCAGUAUUCCAUUCUACUGGAAUGCCACUACAUGCUGCUAGGCGUCACUGGUGGAUUGUGAGACUCAUGAGAAUUAUCUAGAUGAUCGAUAAUUCUCAUUGGGCUGAGUUGGAAUUGUUCUAAUCCAUUGAAAGGAGUUUCAGUGAUAUUGUUGAUAGUGAUCAAAAUAUAUCUCACUACCAGAUAGAAUAGAACCUAUGGGGUCACAUACAUAAGAGGUUGUGAUUUAUCGAAUAGCUAGAUCGCGAUUAUUGUAUCGUCGGAUGACCUAAUUGUCAAUAUGUUGAUAAUUGGACUAAUUUAUAAUUAUUACAAAUUAGUGGUAUUAAAGUGUAAAUGUUACAAGAGAGGACUUACUAAUAGUUAGUAAAUUAUAAGAGGACUUAUGUGCAAAUGUUGCAUUAUUAAUUUGAUAAGAUCAAAUUAAUAUAAAAUUCAAGUCGAAUCAAAUUAGGAUUUGAUCGAUCUAACCAAUUAAGGAAAUGAUAAAUUUAAAUCUAGAUUUAUACUUAUUCUUAAUUGUCAUUAUAUUAUUAGGAAUAGGAUUAUAUUCCUAUAUAUAAUAUACGGGAGUUUUUAGAAAACCCUAGCCGUCAUAUCUCUUCUCCUCUCUCCUCCAUCUUCUAGCAAGAAAGACAUCCUUUGCAAGGGAGCUAGCACCCUGGUGAGGAAAUCGAUCAAAUCAAGAACCUCGUGUGGAUACCUAUAGAGGCCGGACGCGUGUGCGGCUUCAAGAGAAUCCGAUUCCACGAUCAUCAAAGUUGAGGUGAAGAUCUAUCCGCGAAAAAGGUAAAGAUUCGAUCUUGCUUUUCUCCUUUAAUCUUAAAGAACAUGAGGGAUCCUAAUUGCGUGAUUUUUGAGAUUGGAUCUCGAGAGUUUUCAAAAUCAAAUUUGUUUGAUUUAUUUUUCCACUGCGUUUUACAGUACGCAAUUUUCUAACAGUUGCGUGAGUUCGAUAAGAACCGACGCAUACCUAAGAGAAAAACCUACCAUCUACCUCGUUUUUUCUGCUUUCCCGUCAUUAAUCUUUUUCGCCGACUUUCGCCGAGCUUUCGUUACUGGAUCUGAACCUUGUUGGAUUCAUCUUGCGCCACCUUGAAAGCAUGCCGACGGGGUGGAACGUGGUCGUUGUAUCGCUAGAAGUAAUUGCCGAAAAGCCUUGCACAUGAAUGGGCAAUUUCGCUUCUAGGACAGUGCUCUACACAUCUCGAUCAACAGACCUUAUCUAAACUUUUUCUUUACAGUAUUUGUUGUUUUUUUUCUUUCUCAGAAUUUUUUUAAACCUUAAAUUAAACUUUCAAAUUGUUUUACGAAAUAUUUUAAUAAAAGAUCAGAAAGAAUUUUCCAACAUAUACAUAGUUUUAUUUAUUUCAAUUCUAUUGAAGAUCCUAUUUGAGUUUCAAAAGUAUCUUCAUCAUGGCGUAUAGGAUGGGAUCAUCUAUUUCAGAACUAUUCUGAGCUUAGGUUGAUAUCCUCGUCAAGCUCAAGUGCAAUGGUCUUGGUUCUGGUCUUUCCACAAUGGUCGUCACCAGAGAAGGGCCCCACGUUCUACCUAUUAUAUGACCUUAACUUAGGACUUAAUUAAGCCCCCACGUUCUACCUAUUAUAUGACCUUAACUUAAGUUAGAACUUAUCUCAUAUCAAUUGAGACGAUCCGACUCACUAGCAAUACUAUAUGACCCUAAGACAAUCAAGACUUAUCUCAUACCAACUGUAACGAUCCAACCCUAAAACAAUCAAGACUUAUCUUAUACCAACUGUAACGAUCUGACUCAUUAACAAUAGUAACUCGUUAGGCCCAAAUUAUCGGCCUACAAAGCGUAAAGUUCGUAUUAUUAUUAUUAGAGUGUGUGACCUCUAAUAUUCUUAAACACAAUUUCUUUCUCAUUCGAUGUGAGAUUAUUGGAGUAUUACAUUACGAGAGUUUAUUCUUUCACGUUUGCUUGUCUUAACCUUUUUCUAUGUACUUUCUUUACAGCUUCUUGGACUUUUAUGCCAUGAGCUUGAUUAUUUAUUAAUUUAGGUAUUUAGGAUGGAGAAGUAAUCUAUAUCUUCCUCACCUUUCUUUUUCAGAGGCCGUCUAUUCUGUCUUAUCCUUAAUCACGUUAUAGUUUUAUUUAUUUCUCCUUUUUAAAUUAUUUUUAUGGUAUUCAAGUUUUACUUGUAAUGAAAUUUCUACAAACCUUUCUUAAACAAAUAUUUAGUUUUCUUAAAAAUAAUAAAGUGAGAAUUUUUUUCAUAGAAAAUAGCCAACAUGCACCGUCCUCACACACACACACACACACACACACACACACAUAUAUAUAUAUAUAUAGAGAGAGAGAGAGAGAGAGAGAGAGAGAGAGAGAUUUGGCAAGGCAGGCUAAGUCAUGGUCAUUGGACAAUGAUAGGAAUUUGACUCACUCUCAUCAUGAUUAUUGUUUGUUAAAUAAUUACUCCUACUCUAAAUUGAAUACAUCCAUCAAAGUUGGUUACAUUAUUUGCAUAUUCAUUGGUUAUCUGCUAUUGAGACAUGCACUUAUGUCACCAUCUAAAAAGCUAUGCAAGUUUAUUUCUUGGACCCCCUACUCUCUAAAAAAGAGUAGCAAUUAAUGUUGCUUUAUAUUCUCAGUUGAGCUCCUAUGCUUUUAAAAAUACCAGAGCAUUUGUAUUUGUGAUUUUUUAGCCAUCUAAUUAUUUUAAGAUCCAUACAGCACUACUAACAAUAUAUUUCAUUAAGUCUUCUUUAUUAGUGUUGUACAGAUUUUGAGGCGAUCUGACGGCUAAAAAAUUACACUUGUACUUUUAAAAACAUAUAUUGGAGCUCAAGUCUUAUACUCUAAGACAAGCAAAUAUAAUCUUUAUUAUAUUCUCCGCUAUUGUGCUUUUUUAGGUUAAAAGGAUGGAGAUUCACUCAACCAAAAGCCAUUCUUAUUUAGGCUUUUAUUAAAAUUUAGUCGGUUAAGUUAUAGAUUUCAUUAAAAUAAACUUCUAUCUAUUUUGAUUUGAAUCAUUAGCUAUAUAUUUAUCAUUAACUAGUUUGACAAAAAACUAAUUAGAGCCAUAAAAUUUGGCAAAAUUACUGAUUAAUUUGAGGAACUAACUCAGUUUACUACAAUUAAUACUCAACCCAGUGAGAGUUGAGGCAUAUCAAUAAUAUAUAUAUAUAUAUAUAUAUAUAUAUAUAUAUAUAUAUAUAUAUAUAUAUAUAUAUAUAUAUAUAGAGGUUUGGACCUGGGCUACUAUAUAGCAAAAUUCCAUUGUUGCUACCAGUAUUUUACCUUUGGAUCAACUCAUUUCAUUAUUUUAACCAUUGGAUUAAAUACAUAACCCAGUGGGACCACUCAACCCUAGGGGGACCACUCAACAAUAACGACUAAUAUCAUCCUGACCUACAAAUUUCAUCCAGGGUUAAAAACUUGAUAGCAAAAAGAACGUACUAUUACAUAG